rnacentral:rRNA from 1 species
GUCCUACGGGAGGCAGCAGUGGGGAAUAUUGCACAAUGGGGGAAACCCUGAUGCAGCGACGCCGCGUGAGUGAAGAAGUAUUUCGGUAUGUAAAGCUCUAUCAGCAGGGAAGAAACCCACCCUUUGGGGUGGCUGACGGUACCUGACUAAGAAGCCCCGGCUAACUACGUGCCAGCAGCCGCGGUAAUACGUAGGGGGCAAGCGUUGUCCGGAUUUAUUGGGCGUAAAGCGAGUGCAGGCGGUUCAAUAAG